CAGUAUCUGAUACUUCUGACAAUUGUGAGGAAAAUCUUUCCGUCAGAGAUGAUAAAGUUUCCCGUCGUCCUAUUCAGGUGAUCCUAUGGCGCAUCUAGAAUACACCAUUUAGAGAUUUUCUGCCGCGAUUAUCGAGCAGCGCCGCGAGAUGUCGCCACAAGUAUCAUCUUCCACUUUCAAAAUUUCGCGAGUUGCAACUUGCGCGAGUGAUCAGCGAGUUCGCGCCAUUUUCCACAAAAUGCAGUGUACAAUUAUGUUGUUGUGCUCGCAUUCGAGUAACGUGUACUUGCGAAAAUAAUUAUUGUCCAUACUUUCGUGCAGCGUUGGUCUUAGGAGCAACCGGACAUGCCAGAAAUAAACUUGA